rnacentral:rRNA from 1 species
UGCAAGUCGUACGAGAGUUUUUAACUCUAGUGGCGGACGGGUGAGUAACACGUGAGAAUUUACCUUUAGGAGGGGGAUAACAAUUGGAAACGAAUGCUAAUACCCCAUAUGCUUUUGAGUGAAAUGGAUUUAUAAUUAUCUGCCUAAAGAAAAGCUCGCGGCUGAUUAGCUUGUUGGUAAGGUAAGAGCUUACCAAGGCGACGAUCAGUAUCUGGUUUGAGAGGACGAUCAGACACACUGGAGCUGAGACACGGUCCAGACUCCUACGGGAGGCAGCAGUGGGGAAUUUUCCGCAAUGGGCGAAAGCCUGACGGAGCAAUACCGCGUGAGGGAAGAAUGCCUAUGGGUUGUAAACCUCUUUUUUCAGGGAGGAAUAAAAUGACGUGUACCUGAAGAAUAAGCAUCGGCUAACUCCGUGCCAGCAGCCGCGGUAAGACGGAGGAUGCAAGUGUUAUCCGGAAUCACUGGGCGUAAAGCGUCUGUAGGUGGUUUAAUAAGUCAACUGUUAAAUCUUGAGGCUCAACUUCAAAACCGCAGUCGAAACUAUUAGACUAGAGUAUAGUAGAGGUAAAGGGAAUUUCCAGUGGAGCGGUGAAAUGCGUAGAUAUUGGAAAGAACACCGAUGGCGAAAGCACUUUACUGGGCUAUUACUAACACUCAGAGACGAAAGCUAGGGUAGCAAAUGGGAUUAGAUACCCCA